rnacentral:lncRNA from 1 species
GUCGCCCUCCUCAACACUGCCUGGGAUCCGUGAGAACCUGGGACCCACACAGGCUCCUAAGGUGUUAAACACGCAUACAAGCCGGCUGACGAAGAGGAAGCCAUGGCAUCGGCAGCUGCAUGCCAGAAGGCGCGGCCACCAGAGCCGGUCAGAAGUGCCUACUUCUGGUUGAGUUUGAUUAAUGGACUGUGAUUCUCUUUGGUUUCUAGAGUAAAACCAUGAAAAGCCGCCCGGAUGUGACAAGUCUCUCAGGAGCGUACAGCUGUCAGGUCCGCCUGCCGCCGUCCUGCAUCACGGAAAGCCAGUAUGGAUGGCCGGGGAGAGGCUUUGGGGCCGGGUGACUGGUCACACCCUCACACUUUCCUACAGCUCUCGUCACGGAAGGCUGCUCUGACCCGCAAUCGGGGAAGCUGGUGCUGCCCGACAGUUGUGAAGUCCUGCAACCAUCAGCAUCCCUGGGGCCACCUUAGCUCUGCAGAGAAAUGACAAGGAUUGCAGGAGGCAGCCUGGAAAUCCCAGACGCAGCAGAAACUGACCAUCCCCCCUUUCUACUCUGCAUCCUGUGGGCGAGCAUCCAGAGCUAAGCAAGCCAGGUCCUCCCCCUGGCGUCCAUCUGCACAGGUUUCCAGGACACCUGAUUGCUCUAAACCUUCAUAAAGGACUUUAAUUGCUACCAAUAAAUACUUCUGAAUGUGGGUUCCCAGACUGGCAGCGUAGUUUGAGAAGUAGGCAAAAAAAAUUCUUUAUCUUUCCU